GUAAUUAGCACAGAGUCUCUGUCGAUGACCCGAAAGACAGCAAUAUUUCUUAAUAACCUCAUUACUACUCCGUAUUGGAAAUCGUGUUCCAACAGCGGGUGCGUGUCUUGUUGAUUCCAGUAUAUAUUGUAAGCCGGCCUUACGAGGUGGAUUGUAAUCCUCAUUAUAUAAUAGACAGGCAACUAACCAAAUGAGCGAUGAUAUACAGCAAGAUGACGAGCCUUUCGGCAGUUCAGUAUGGCAGGAUGAGAAGUAUAUGAUAAGUAUCAUGAUACCUAUUGGUAUAAGUAUAACAGGAGCAAUGAUUAUAAUGAUCAUGGCUUAUGCUGGAAAAAUCUGUAAAAAACGAAGGGAAGAAGUAGCAAUAUCAACAUUGGAAAGAGUUAUCCCCAAGCCCUUGUCAUCUACGGUCACACUGGAAGACGUUUCAAACCUAAUAAGUGAUACUGAUGACGAAGAAUAUUAAACCGUCUUGACAGAUACAUGUAGUUUAAUAACUUCCUUGAUUUUGUUUGUUGAUCUUUAUUCUAUUUUGAGCCUGUACUUUAUUAGUUAUUAAUUUAUAACACCCAACCAAAUUCAGUCUUAAAACCUGUUAUGGUCAUUUGCAAACUUAUUUAAAGGUAUGAUGUCUCGUGUAGUGCUAUAGGAAUCCCUUGCAUACUGCAAUAUUGUGACAGUUUAAUCUCUAAUAAGAAUAUCAGUUACAAAAUCCCAUUCAGUAUUUAUAAAGUUAUGAUCAAUUGAAAUUUCAUGGAUCUAUGCUGCUCGCUAUGUAACAAGACACCGCCAUCUUUUAUUGGUAUCAGAGAAACCUGUUGUUGUUGACUUGUUGUUUAUUACAAAUUUAACGUCUAAUACAUUAUACAUGAUAAUAUAGGCAGGUUUAUUUUAUUUAGUUAUUUACAUAUGAAGAGACUCGGAGAAAAAACCCGGUGGGCCUGCAGUUUAAAUCUGACUGAAUCCAAGCCGGGAGAUUAUAUAGAGUUCAUAUUUUGAUUUUAUUUUCUGCAUUAAAUGUUUAAUAAUUAAUCUAUGAGUAGAUAAUAUUUUGUGAGGAUUAAGCUGUGAGAAAUUUAAUAUUUUAGCGAAAUUGCAAAUUAAAUAUACCGUUUCACAGCUCUUAAUUCUUUAAUUGGUUGGCUACCAAAAUAACGUCUCUUUUCAAGUGUUGCAGAGAGAUAUAUAAUGGUCACUAUUCAUCAAUUAUUGUUUAAAGAUUUAUAUUUUUAAUUAAUAUGCAUAUAGUCAAUAAUUAGUACGAUUAAUGAUGACAGAUUAUUGUGGCUUCCAUGGUCAUAUUGUCGCUUUAAUUUCAUAUGGCAUUAUAUUCAACCUUGACAAUUGGAAUUCGAAAUAAGAGUAGGUCGUAAUGCCGCAAAAUUUACCCCAUCGCACAUUGUAUUAUGUCCGCCUUCAAUAGCCCAGUUGGUGCACAAAAAUAGGACGUUAAACCCAAUUUCAUUUCAUUGCAUUAUACGCGAUGUUGGGUGUACGUGGUAUGUUGACAUUAUAUGCUUACUAAACUUUAAUUUUUAAAGAGGAAAUCAAUGUAUUUAAUGGCGCCGGUAUUACCAAUUUUAUCGUUGCUCCUAAUGUCUGGAAAUUAUUGUUUUGUAUAUCUAGAUAUAUAUAUCAGAUAGUAUGUAAAUGUUGAUACACCUUUCUUUAUAAUUGUGAUCUAUAAACCUUAUCAGGCUCGUCUCGUAAACUUUCCAAGGGAUACAAUGUUAAGCAUAUCUGGCAUUAAAUUCGUCCGCUUCUGUCGUUCUGAUUAACACCCCACCAGCUUUCCUACGGUACUCCACUCCCGGGCAAUAUCACAUUCUGAAAUAUGUUGCCCUCCCUGUCCCCAACUCUGCCCACUCGAUCUAAUUCCAAACACAUAUCUUUAUAUUUACAGUUUCUUUUACUUUUGCAUAUUAAAACAUUAUAUGACAUA